GACGAACGCUGGCGGCGUGCUUAACACAUGCAAGUCGAACGGAAAGGCCCUGCUUUUGUGGGGUGCUCGAGUGGCGAACGGGUGAGUAACACGUGAGUAACCUGCCCUUGACUUUGGGAUAACUUCAGGAAACUGCGGCUAAUACCGGAUAGGAGCUCCUGCUGCAUGGUGGGGGUUGGAAAGUUUCGGCGGUUGGGGAUGGACUCGCGGCUUAUCAGCUUGUUAGUGGGGUAGUGGCUUACCAAGGCUUUGACGGGUAGCCGGCCUGAGAGGGUGACCGGGCACCUUGGGACUGAGAGACGGACCAGACGGCUACGGGACGCAAUGGUGGGGAAUAUUGCACAACGGGCGGAAGCCAGAUGCAGCAGUGCCGCGUGCGGGAAGACGGCCUUCGGGUUGUAAACAGAUUUCGCCGGUGAUGAAGCGUGCGUGACGGUAAUGGGUAAAGAAGCAACGGCUAACUACGUG
rnacentral:rRNA from 1 species